GAUGAACGCUAGCGGGAGGCCUAACACAUGCAAGCCGAGCGGUAGAGAUUCUUCGGAAUCUUGAGAGCGGCGUACGGGUGCGGAACACGUGUGCAACCUGCCUUUAUCAGGGGGAUAGCCUUUCGAAAGGAAGAUUAAUACCCCAUAAUAUAUUUGAUGGCAUCAUUAGAUAUUGAAAGCUUUGGCGGAUAGAGAUGGGCACGCGCAAGAUUAGAUAGUUGGUGAGGUAACGGCUCACCAAGUCGAUGAUCUUUAGGGGGCCUGAGAGGGUGAUCCCCCACACUGGUACUGAGACACGGACCAGACUCCUACGGGAGGCAGCAGUGAGGAAUAUUGGACAAUGGGUUAGCGCCUGAUCCAGCCAUCCCGCGUGAAGGACGACGGCCCUAUGGGUUGUAAACUUCUUUUGUACAGGGAUAAACCUACUCUCGUGAGAGUAGCUGACGGUACUGUACGAAUAAGCACCGGCUAACUCCGUG
rnacentral:rRNA from 1 species